rnacentral:rRNA from 1 species
CAGUAGCCACGGUAAUACGUAGGGUGCAAGCGUUAAUCGGAAUUACUGGGCAUAAAGCGUGCGCAGGCGGUUUGUUAAGACAGAUGUGAAAUCCCCGGGCUUAACCUGGGAACUGCGCUUGUGACCGCACAGCUAGAGUAUGGCAGAGGGGGGUGGAAUUCCACGUGUAGCAGUGAAGUGCGUAGAGAUGUGGAGGAACACCGAUGGCGAAGGCAGCCCCCUGGGCCAAUACUGACGCUCAUGCACGGAAGCGUGGGGAGCAAACAGGAUUAGAUACCCCCGUAGUCCCUGUCUCUUAUAC